rfam:Mus musculus chromosome 18, GRC primary reference assembly.
AAUGCGGGUCCUCAGGCUACAACACAGGACCCGGGCGCUGCUCUGACCCCUCGUGUCUUGUGUUGCAGCCGGAGGGACGCA